GCGGGAAUAGCUCAGUGGUAGAGCACAACCUUGCCAAGGUUGGGGUCGCGGGUUCGAAUCCCGUUUCCCGCU
rfam:Candidatus Rokubacteria bacterium GWC2_70_16 gwc2_scaffold_7055, whole genome shotgun sequence.